rnacentral:rRNA from 1 species
CCUACGGGUGGCUGCAGUAGGGAAUCUUCCACAAUGGACGCAAGUCUGAUGGAGCAACGCCGCGUGAGUGAAGAAGGCUUUCGGCUCGUAAAGCUCUGUCAGUCGUGACGAAGGUUACAGGUAUUAACUGCCCUUUAUUUGACGUUAAUUACUUAGGAAGUCCCGGCUAACUACGUGCCAGCAGCCGCGGUAAUACGGAGGGGGCAAGCGUUAUUCGGAAUUAUUGGGCGUAAAGCGCAUGCAGGCGGUUGAAUAAGUCAGAUGUGAAAUCCCUCGGCUCAACCGGAGAAUUGCAUCUGAAACUGUUGAACUUGAGUGCAGUAGAGGAGAGUGGAAUUCCAUGUGUAGCGGUGGAAUGCGUAGAGAUAUGGAAGAAUACCAGUGGCGAAGGCGGCCCCCUGGACUGAAACUGACGCUGAGGCGCGAAAGCAUGGGUAGCGAACAGGAUUAGAUACCCGGGUAGUC